rnacentral:rRNA from 1 species
AAUAGAUACCCAGGUAGUCCACGCCGUAAACGAUGAGUGCUAGGUGUUAGGGGGCCCACCCCUUAGUGCCGAAGCUAACGCAUUAAGCACUCCGCCUGGGGAGUACGGUCGCAAGACUGAAACUCAAAGGAAUUGACGGGGGCCCGCACAAGCAGUGGAGCAUGUGGUUUAAUUCGAAGCAACGCGAAGAACCUUACCAGGACUUGACAUCCCGCUGACCGCUCUAGAGAUCGAGUUUCCCUUCGGGGCAGCGGUGACAGGUGGUGCAUGGUUGUCGUCAGCUCGUGUCGUGAGAUGUUGGGUUAAGUCCCGCAACGAGCGCAACCCCUAUGUUGUGUUGCUACCAUUUAGUUGAGCACUUACAACAGACUGCCGGUGACAAACCGGAGGAAGGCGGGGAUGACGUCAAAUCAUCAUGCCCCUUAUGUCCUGGGCUACACACGUGCUACAAUGGACGGUACAAAGGGUUGCGAAGCCGCGAGGUGAAGCCAAUCCCAGAAAGCCGUUCGUAGUUCGGAUUGCAGG